GCUUCUUUGAGCCUUUGUUUAUCCUGUGAGGGCUGCCCAUCUAUGUAAAAAUUACUUAAUGAAAUGUCUGUGUGUUUCUCCUAUUAAUCUGCUUGAUGUCCGUUUAAUUUUUAGGCCCAGCCAGAAAUGCUAAAAGCGUAGAAGAGAAAUUUUACCUCCUUUACACAAUCUCUCUCUCUCUCCUCCUUCCUCGGACACCGUAUGGGUCUGACCGUCUCCUUCAAACUCUGGGCCCUGUUCUCCGGAGCCUUAGUGAAGAGUGAGGAGCCUUUGGAAAGUCAAGUCACUGACAGUUAUUUUGUUGGGAAAGGACUUGCGAUCAGCUUCAUCUCCAACAAAGAGACCAUCUCAAAGCUUCUUAGGAAAAGAUGACUAUGCCAGAUUCGCUUGCUUACACACUCCUGAUGGUGUGGCUUCAACAGCUUUAAGAACAUAACCAUCCUACUGAGUCUGGAUUUCCAGAAUUCUGCUCAAGAAGCACGUGGGUUCAUGAAACUGUGGUGGGGAAAGAAAAUGACCCCACCAGCAGAAAGAUGCUUCCUUAUCAAUAGAAGAAAGAGAAGACACGUAAUGAAGUAUUUACUGUAUUUACAUGUAUUUAGGGUAUCACCAAAGUGAUGACAAAAGUAUAAACACUGACUCAUUGUUUACAGCAAAGCUGAAGAAAGAAUAUUGACUUCUCUUUAUCUCCUUGAGAAGCAAAGGGCUGCACCUUGUGAGUCUCCCGUCAAUCUCCUGAGAGCGUCCUGACCUAAUUCUGGAGGUACAUUCUUAUAUACCUAGAGGUUAUUUGGCUCACAACCUUAGAGAUACUCUGCAUGGUAAAAAUUGAAGACCAGACUUCAUCCAUAGAGACAUUGAUCUCUAUUCCGAAGCCUGGAGUCAGGACUCAGAUUCACUACGUAUCCAAGAAACACUGCAGGGAAGGAGGUGGGGGCGGGGGGUAGAAGAAGGGCACUUUCGCUAUAUAAUCAGAGAAAAUAAUUUCCAUUUACCCUUAUAAUUGUUAACUCAAGAUCUGGGGGAGCAAGAAUAACAGAGGACUGACUGAGAGGUGACUGGGAUAUUGUCUGUUUGUCUGGAAUAUUGUUGAUGCUGUUACAGAGUUCUAUCUUCUAGAUCUACAAAGAAGCUCUUUCUCUUUCCUCAGUCUAUGCUGUGACUUGUAACAAUUUGAUAGACUUCGCUUUUGUGAGCUAAAACAAUUGAAAAUAUCUUAUUGUCUAACAACAGGCUCAUUUUUGUUCUCUGUGAGUCCUAGUUUUACCUUUUUUUGAAAAUUGCCUUUGAAUAAAUCUAUACAUAAUUUCCUUUGA